rnacentral:rRNA from 1 species
GACGUAGGGGGCCAGCGUUGCUCGGAAUAACUGGGCGUAAAGGGUCUGUAGGCGGUGUGGCAAGUCGGGAGUGAAAUCUCUGGGCUUAACCCAGAGGCUGCUUCCGAAACUGCCGUGCUAGAGUGCGAGAGAGGUGAGUGGAAUUGCAGGUGUAGCGGUGAAAUGCGUAGAUAUCUGCAGGAACACCAGAGGCGAAGGCGGCUCACUGGAUCGCAACUGACGCUGAGAGACGAAAGCUAGGGGAGCAAACAGG